GACGAACGCUGGCGGCGCGCUUAACACAUGCAAGUCGAACGGAAAGGCCUGCUUUCCCUUGUGGAUUGCGGGUACUCGAGUGGCGAACGGGUGAGUAACACGUGAGUGAUCUGCCCCCAACUUGGGUAUAAGCCUGGGAAACUGGGUCUAAUUCCCGAUAGGACUGCAGGGUGGUGCCUGUGGUGGAACACGAUUUUCUAGUGGUUGGGGAUGAGCUCGCGGCCUAUCAGCUUGUUGGUGGGGUAAUGGCCUACCAAGGCGGCGACGGGUAGCCGGCCUGAGAGGGUGGACGGCCACGUUGAGACUGAGAAACGGCCCAGACUCCUACGGGAGGCAGCAGUGGGGAAUAUUGCACAAUGGGCGGAAGCCUGAUGCAGCGACGACGCGUGGGGGAUGACGGCCUUCGGGUUGUAAACUCCUUUCGACCGCGAGGAAGCCACCUGGUUGGAAGGGUGGUGACGGUAGUGGUAGAAGAAGCACCGGCUAACUACGUG
rnacentral:rRNA from 1 species